GAUGAUGAGGCAUUGUAGAUGUGGCCGCUAUGUCACAGUUGUAUCAGAAGUGGGCAGGGAGAAGAGAGUCUAUGUCUACGUUGUGUUCCAACCCAUGAACAUUUUUUUUCUUUUCUUUUCUUU
rnacentral:snoRNA from 1 species